GUGCCAGCAGCCGCGGUAAGACGAACUGUGCGAACGUUAUUCGGAAUCACUGGGCUUACAGGGUGCGUAGGCGGCCUGUUAAGUAGGGUGUGAAAUCCCCCGGCCCAACCGGGGAAUUGCGCUCUAAACUAGCAGGCUUGAGUAAGCUAGGGGUGCACGGAACUUCCAGUGGAGCGGUGAAAUGUGUUGAUAUUGGAAGGAACACCGGAGGCGAAAGCGGUGCACUGGGGCUUAACUGACGCUGAGGCACGAAAGCCAGGGGAGCGAACGGGAUUAGAUACCCCGGUAGUCCUAGCUGUAAACGAUGAGCACUGGGUCGGAGAGUCUUCCAUAACUUUCCGGCCGAAGCGAAAGUGUUAAGUGCUCCGCCUGGGGAGUAUGGUCGCAAGGCUGAAACUUAAAGGAAUUGACGGGG
rnacentral:rRNA from 1 species